rnacentral:tRNA from 1 species
GGAGAGGUGGCUGAGUGGUCUAAGGCGCUCGCCUGGAAAGCGGGUAUACAUUUCUUGUAUCGUGGGUUCAAAUCCCACUCUCUCCG